rnacentral:rRNA from 1 species
GACGAACGCUGGCGGCGUGCUUAACACAUGCAAGUCGAACGGAAAGGCCCUGCUUUUGUGGGGUGCUCGAGUGGCGAACGGGUGAGUAACACGUGAGUAACCUGCCCUUGACUUUGGGAUAACUUCAGGAAACUGGGGCUAAUACCGGAUAGGAGCUCCUGCUGCGUGGUGGGGGUUGGAAAGUUUCGGCGGUUGGGGAUGGACUCGCGGCUUAUCAGCUUGUUGGUGGGGUAGUGGCUUACCAAGGCUUUGACGGGUAGCCGGCCUGAGAGGGUGACCGGCCACAUUGGGACUGAGAUACGGCCCAGACUCCUACGGGAGGCAGCAGUGGGGAAUAUUGCACAAUGGGCGGAAGCCUGAUGCAGCAACGCCGCGUGCGGGAUGACGGUCUUCGGGUUGUAAACCGCUUUCGCCUGUGACGAAGCGUGAGUGACGGUAAUGGGUAAAGAAGCACCGGCUAACUACGUG